CCUACGGGAGGCAGCAGUGGGGAAUCUUGCACAAUGGGGGAAACCCUGAUGCAGCGACGCCGCGUGAGCGAUGAAGCCCUUCGGGGUGUAAAGCUCUUUCGGCAGGAACGAUAAUGACGGUACCUGCAGAAGAAGCUGCGGCUAACUACGUGCCAGCAGCCGCGGUAAUACGUAGGCAGCGAGCGUUGUUCGGAGUUACUGGGCGUAAAGAGUGUGUAGGCGGUUUGCCAAGUUCGGUGUGAAAUCUCCCGGCUUAACUGGGAGGGUGCGCCGAAUACUGGCAGGCUAGAGUGCGGGAGAGGAGAGCGGAAUUCCUGGUGUAGCGGUGAAAUGCGUAGAUAUCAGGAGGAACACCUGCGGUGUAGACGGCUCUCUGGACCGUUUCUGACGCUGAGACGCGAGAGCGUGGGUAGCAAACAGGAUUAGAUACCCUGGUAGUCCACGCCGUAAACGAUGUUCACUAGGUGUUGGGGGUAUUGACCCCCUCAGUGCCGGAGCUAACGCAUUAAGUGAACCGCCUGGGGAGUACGGUCGCAAGACUAAAACUCAAAUGAAUUGACGGUAAAAGUAACCAAGGGGUUUCCCC
rnacentral:rRNA from 1 species